UACGUAGGGUGCAAGCGUUGUCCGGAAUUAUUGGGCGUAAAGAGCUCGUAGGCGGUUUGGUAAGUCGGGUGUGAAAUCUCCACGCUCAACGUGGAGGGGCCACUCGAUACUGCCAUGACUCGAGUCCGGUAGAGGAGUGUGGAAUUCCCGGUGUAGCGGUGAAAUUCGUAGAUAUUGGGAAGAACACCAGUGGCGAAGGCGGCUAACUGGUCCGGUACUGACGCUGAGGUGCGAAAGCGUGGGGAGCAAACAGG
rnacentral:rRNA from 1 species